AUAAAAUAAACGUAACGUACGUGUCCAGGAUACAGGAGAAAAGAAGAGUUCAAAGCAAUCAUCUCUCUCCCUUGUCUCGCCUCUUCUCCAAUCACAGAAGAACAAAACAUGGACAUGACCAGGGUGUUACCGGACGAGUGCAUGUCUCUCAUCAUAUCGUUUACGUCCCCUCGAGAUGCCUGUCGAAUGGCCCUUGUUUCUCGUGCUUUGAGGUCAGUUGCAGACUCUGACGCUGUAUGGCAGGUGUUUCUGCCUUGUGAUUACAAGGAAAUCAUCUCCAAAUCAUUAUCAUCACCUUCAUUGCUUUCAUUACCAAAGAAGGAUCUGUAUUUCAGUCUCUGUCAUCGUUCCAUUCUCUUUGAUGACGGUACUACGAGCUUUCGACUGGAGAAAGAGAACGGGAAAAAAUGCUAUAUGCUAGGAGCAAGAGCACUUUCAAUUAAAUGGGCAGAUACUCCUGACUAUUGGAGUUGGAUAUCUCUACCGGAGUCUAGAUUCUCUGAGGUUCCUAAGCUCAAGAAAGUGUGGAGGCUCGAUGUGAAGGGAAGGAUUGAGUUGAAAACUUUAUCUUACAGAACGAACUAUUCAGCAUACCUUGUGUUUAAGAUUGUCAGGGACAGAUAUGGAUUUAGGCAUACACCGGUGGAGUUUCGUGUCAUCAUUAAUGAAGGAACCGCUUCAGGGGAGGUGCGUAGUGUAAUCCUAGACCCUCCACCGAAUGUGCCCCAGCAAGCUAAAGAGAGGGGAGAUGGCUGGCUGGAGAUUGAAAUGGGUGAGUUCCUCAACGAAGGUGGAGAUGAUACGAGAGUGGAGUUUUAUCUACGGGGAGUUCAUGAUAAUCAGCCCAAGCGAGGCCUCAUUAUCGAAGGAAUCGAGCUCAGACCUAAAGAUAAUAGGAGGGGAAAAAGGCUUGCGUUUUUAUAAUGUGUAUGCUCCUGCCCCGAGACUGGCUGCAUUCAUCAACGCACUGUAUUGAUCAAAGUUUGAUAAUCAAACAAUUUGCCCACUUCUAUUGCAGAACUAUUCAAAACUCAAAGUUUGACAGCGUUUUCCUAGACUGUACAACUGGAAUUCUAAGGUUUACUGUCUCUCUUUUCCCAUCUUCUUUUGCAUCGCAUCGCAUGCAUAGACACCUUGCUUUUACAAUGCGAGCUUGGGAAGGAAAUUCCCGGUUGAUCGGCUACAAGGACCUAGCCCUCUUAAAGAGUUAAAAGAGUAUUAUUGGCCAUAGCCUCUUUAAUGUCUCCCUGCCCCUGUUAAUUUUGUUAUGAACAUUUAUUGGAAAAAUGUGGGCUGUGCUUAGAAAUGGAGAUUAAUGCAACUGGGAAAAUU